rnacentral:rRNA from 1 species
CGCAGCUAACGCGGUAAGCGCCCCGCCUGGGAGUACGGCGCAAGCCUGAAACUCAAAGGAAUUGGCGGGGGCCCGCACAACCGGUGGAGCGUCUGGUUCAAUUCGAUGCUAACCGAAAAACCUUACCCGGGCUUGACAUGGUGGGAAACCCUUGCGAAAGCGAGGGGUGCCGUCCUCUGGACGGAAUCCCACCACAGGUGGUGCAUGGCCGUCGUCAGCUCGUGUCGUGAGAUGUUGGGUUAAGUCCCGCAACGAGCGCAACCCCUGCCCCUAGUUGCUACCCCGAAUGGGGAGCACUCUAGGAGGACUGCCGGCGAUAAGCCGGAGGAAGGUGGGGAUGACGUCAGGUCAGUAUGCCCUUUAUGCCCGGGGCUACACAGGCGCUACAGUGGCCAGGACAAUGGGAUGCGACCCAGUAAUGGGGAGCAAAUCCCCCAAACCUGGUCAUGGUGCGGAUUGAGGGCUGAAACUCGCCCUCAUGAAGCCGGAAUCGGUAGUAAUGGCGGAUCAGCUAAGCCGCCGUGAAUACGUUCUCGGGCCUUGCACACACCGCCCGUCACGCCACGGAAGUCAGUCUUCCCGGAAGGCCCCAAGC